CGGUUCCCGCUCACACUCGCAAUAACUUAGUUUGUAACCUUUAGAUGUCACUUGUAACUGUAUGAUAAGCUUUGCUCAUUUACCCUGUAUAAUCCACCUUCACUGACCGCUCACCUACGCACGCAUACGGUCAUGUGCUACUCUCACGCUCCCUGGCCAGGAGCCGCAAAAGCGAGAAGUAAAUUACCUUACUGUAAAUGUUAGACCCGAAGACUUUACCGGGUCUUAAUUAUGGAUUAAAUCUACGUCUACAAAGGAA